CCCAUUAUGGCAACCCUAUGAAUCAGUGACCUCCAAGAGCAUCUGUCAUGAACCACCCUGUUUAUAUCUUGUAAAUUCAGUUUUCACACCUCCUUCAUCUUGGUCCACUUUACACAUCUGAUGAUGUAACAUUGCAGGUGGAACAAGAGACAACAAAAGAAGAAAGAAUGAGAAGAAAGAAUGAGAAGAGGAAAAGCAGGGCUCUUCUUCUGAAGCUGAAUGUUGGAAGUUUCAGGAUAAAAGGAAGUACUACUUUAUACAACACAUAAUUCAACAAUUGAAUUUGCUCCUACAAGAGGUAGUGAUGGCUACCAACUUGGAGGGCUUUACAAGAGAAUUAUGCAUAUUCACAGAGGAUAAUGCUAUCAAUGGCUUCUAGCCAUGGUGGAUAUGUUCUGCCUCCCCUGUUGGAGGCAGUAUGCCUUGGACUACCAGUUGUUGGGAACUGCAGAUGGGAAGCAUACUAUAGUGCUCAGAUUCUGCUUGCAGGCUUCCACAUGGGCAUCUGGUUGGCUACUGUGAGAACAGUGUUGGACUAGAUGGGCUUUUAGUUUGAUCCAGCAGAGUUCUUAUGUUCCCUAGCUCAGCUGUUAGUAGUAGCUCCUAACUUGCUCUUCCACCUUCUGUGAUGACAUCAUAUUUCAUCAUCAGAUUCUUCUUCUGAUACUCUCCUUGCUCCUCCCUCACCAUCUCCAGGGUUACCAUGGGAACAGCAAUAAACAAUGUUGCACCAUGGCCAUUCUAUUCCCCAUUCCUUACUGGAUGCUCGAUCAGUUAGGAGUGGUGAAGUUACUCUCUCCAGAGAUUACCAGAAGACUUUCUACCCUUGUCUUAUUUUAAAAUUAUUUUUCAUCAUGGCAGGUAGGAAAUUGUGCUACCUAGAUGUUCAGAAGGAUCCUUCCUUGUCCCAAAGGGCACAUAGAGAAGUGAAGAAUGCAACUGAGAAGGCAUCACAGCCUUACACGGCUUGGGACCACAAUACCUGAUGGAACGCCUCUCCCGAUACAAACCCACCCGUACACUAUGUUCAAGAUCAAAGGUGCUCCUCCGGGUGCCUACUCCAAGGGAAGCUUGGAGAAUGGCAACAAGGGAGAGGGGCCUUCUCAGUGGUGGCCCCCAAAUUAUGAAAUGAUCUUCUUGAGGAGGUAUCCCUGGCGCCAACACUGUUAUAUUUUCGGCUCCAGGUCAAGAUUUUCCUCUUCUCCCAGGCAUUUUAGCAUGUGUUUUAUAUUGUUUUAAAUUUUUAAAUUGUGUUUUAAAUUGUUUUUUAAAAAGAUAUAUUUUAAAUUGUAUUUGUUUUUAGUUACUGUAAACUGCCCAGAGAGCUUCGGCUAUGGGGCGGUAUACAGUAGGGCCCCGCUUAUACAGCGGGUUAGGGACCAGGCCCCUGCCAUUAAGCAGAAAUCGCUGUAAAACGGAACCCAUUGACUAUAAUGGGCCGCAUCGCGUGAAAAUGCCGCAAAAGCGACUUUAAAACGAGGAAUUUCCCCUAAUUGAAAGCCGCUGCAUCAGCGGAACGCCACAAAAUGGAACGCUGGUAACCGGGGCCCUACUGUACAAGUAUAAUAAAUAAAUAAAUAAAUAAAUAAAUCACAGGACACAAUCAAGCAAAAUUAGUUGCAGCUCAGUAGAAGUAACCCCAGUAGGGCUUCAGUUAGCCAUAACUAAAGCCUAUUCUAUGGUGUUCAAUAAAUAAAUUUUGCAGGAAGUGCCCACAAUGUCUCGGGUACUUUCUCUGGUAUGUAUUUCUAUGCUGCCAUAUGCGUAGUGGGCAUUUUUACAGAGUAGAAUAAGCAAAAAAAAAAAAAGAAGUGGGGUUUAGCACCUCUGUGUCUGUUGGGAGGAACCUAAUGGAAAAUCCUGGAUAAAUAGUUUGCAAGAAAAAGCAGAUGACUUUUCUUGCAUACACACACAGACACAGUAUUCUCCAGUAAAUAAUUUUAAAUGUGAGGUGGGGCCUCCCCAAAGAUCUUUGGGCAUUUGCUGGGGACAGCAUGAAAUCAUCCCUGCCAUUCUCUUUCACACUAUAUUUUCAUAAAGAAGAAGAAAAAGUUGAGGAGCCAAAUUGAAAAGAUCCCCUCACAAAUGAGAUACCGGCUUGAAAUACAUAUAUGUCUGAGGAUAUCUUUUGUUAAAGACAGCAUUUCCACUCUUUAACUUGACU